AUAUAGAUGAAAAGUCCCAAAUAGGACGAAACACGUGUCCUGCAU
rnacentral:hammerhead_ribozyme from 1 species